UGACUCAAUAGGCUUUCAACAAUACCUCAAUAAUUAUUGAAACCACAGAGCAAUAAUUCAACAAUAAAGUUGUUGGGUAGUUCACAACAAGAAAGUCGUUGAGUAAAUUCUUUCAUAUAUUGUUGAAUAGUAUUGAGUAUUAUUGAGCCAUUGUUGAGUAGUUUCCAACAAUAAAGUCGUUGACUAAAUUUUGUUGAUAUAUUGUUGAAUUAUAUUGAGUAUUAUUGA
rnacentral:lncRNA from 1 species